UACGAAGGGGGCUAGCGUUGCUCGGAAUCACUGGGCGUAAAGGGUGCGUAGGCGGGUCUUUUAAGUCAGGGGUGAAAUCCUGGAGCUCAACUCCAGAACUGCCUUUGAUACUGAGGAUCUUGAGUUCGGGAGAGGUGAGUGGAACUGCGAGUGUAGAGGUGAAAUUCGUAGAUAUUCGCAAGAACACCAGUGGCGAAGGCGGCUCACUGGCCCGAUACUGACGCUGAGACGCGAAGGCGUGGGGAGCGAACGGG
rnacentral:rRNA from 1 species